UACGGAGGGGGCAAGCGUUGUUCGGAAUUACUGGGCGUAAAGGGCGCGCAGGCGGCUGCUCAAGUCAGGCGUGAAAGGCCUGGGCUCAACCCGGGAAUUGCGCUUGAGACUGGGCUGGCUUGAGUGCGGGAGAGGAUGGUGGAAUUCCCAGUGUAGAGGUGAAAUUCGUAGAUAUUGGGAAGAACACCGAUGGCGAAGGCAGCCUCCUGGGCUAGUACUGACGCUCAUGCACGAAAGCGUGGGGAGCAAACAGG
rnacentral:rRNA from 1 species